AACCUGGUUGAUCCUGCCAGUAGUCAUAUGCUUGUCUCAAAGAUUAAGCCAUGCAUGUCUAAGUAUAAACUGCUUUAUACUGUGAAACUGCGAAUGGCUCAUUAAAAUCAGUUAUAGUUUAUUUGAUGGUACCUACUUACUCGGAUAGCCGUAGUAAUUCUAGAGCUAAUACGUGCGUACAUCCCGACUUCUGGAAGGGACGUAUUUAUUAGAUAAAAGGCCGACCGGGCUUGCCCGACUCGCGGUGACUCAUGAUAACUUCACGAAUCGCAUGGCCUCGCGCCGGCGAUGUUUCAUUCAAAUUUCUGCCCUAUCAACUUUUGAUGGUAGGAUAGAGGCCUACCAUGGUGGUAACGGGUGACGGAGAAUUAGGGUUCGAUUCCGGAGAGGGAGCCUGAGAAACGGCUACCACAUCCAAAGAAGGCAGCAGGCGCGCAAAUUACCCAAUCCUGACACAGGGAGGUAGUGACAAUAAAUAACAAUACCGGGCCUUUGGUCUGGUAAUUGGAAUGAGUACAACCUA
rnacentral:rRNA from 1 species